rnacentral:sRNA from 4 species
UACUCCUCAUUUGGGGGAAGGUGAGAACCUUCGCUAAGGUUCGAGUUGAGCGUAGCGAAACAACAAUGCGACGCUUGCGGCGCGUUGGCCCGCAGGGCGAGGAACGCAGUGACGAGUCAUCCUUCCCCCACCACCA